rnacentral:misc_RNA from 1 species
CUAUGGAGUACAGAAAUGUACAAGAAGGCUUUACUCACUCGUUGUCAGUUUUGAAAGGGCGACCUUUCAACCCUUGUACCUUGAAAACUAGAUAGCGAAACAAAGCGAGAACUUAGAACAUCCUUARUAUAAAGCGAAGUGUUUCGUUUGAAGUGAGCGACUUUGCAGAUGAAUGUUCACCUUACGUGUGAUUGAAAACAUUCAGGUGCAGCGAAAGCCCUUCAAAGAAAUACAAAGCAUA